GUGCCAGCCGCCGCGGUAAGACAGAGGUGGCAAGCGUUGUUCGGAUUUAUUGGGUGUAAAGGGUCCGUAGGCGGUCAGACAAGUCUGAUGUGAAAUCCCAUGGCUCAACCGUGGAACGGCAUUGGAAACUGUUUGACUUGAGUACCGUAGAGGUAAAGGGAAUUCCCGGUGUAAGGGUGAAAUCUGUAGAUAUCGGGAGGAACACCAGUGGCGAAAGCGCUUUACUGGCCGGUUACUGACGCUGAGGGACGAAAGCAAGGGGAGCAAACAGGAUUAGAUACCCUCGUAGUCC
rnacentral:rRNA from 1 species